rnacentral:rRNA from 1 species
UACGGGGGGGGCAAGCGUUGUUCGGAAUUACUGGGCGUAAAGGGCGCGUAGGCGGCCUGCUAAGUCGGAUGUGAAAUCCCUCGGCUCAACCGAGGAACUGCAUCCGAUACUGGCGGGCUUGAAUCCGGGAGAGGGAUGUGGAAUUCCAGGUGUAGCGGUGAAAUGCGUAGAUAUCGGAAGGAACGCCGGUGGCGAAAGCGACGUGCUGGACCUCUUCUGACGCUGAGGCGCGAAAGCCAGGGGAGCGAACGGG